GACGAACGCUGGCGGCGUGCCUAAUACAUGCAAGUCGAGCGGAAGUUGGAGAGCUUGCUCUUCAACUUUAGCGGCGGACGGGUGAGUAACACGUGGGCAACCUGCCCUGCAGAUCGGGAUAACUCCGGGAAACCGGUGCUAAUACCGAAUAGUUUUCGCCACCUCCUGGUGGCGUACGGAAAGACGGUUUCGGCUGUCACUGCAGGAUGGGCCCGCGGCGCAUUAGCUAGUUGGUGGGGUAACGGCCCACCAAGGCAACGAUGCGUAGCCGACCUGAGAGGGUGAGCGGCCACACUGGGACUGGGACAAGGCCCCGACUCCUACGGGAGGCAGCAAGAGGGAAUCUUCCGCAAUGGACGAAAGUCUGACGGAGCAACGCCGCGUGAGUGACGAAGGUUUUCGGAUCGUAAAACUCUGUUGUGAGGGAAGAACAAGUACCAACUAACUACUGGUACCUUGACGGUACCUCACCAGAAAGCCACGGCUAACUACGUGCCAGCCGCCGCCGUAAAAC
rnacentral:rRNA from 1 species